GCCUGAGGCUGGUGCAGUGGGUGCAGAAAGUCAUUGGUGCCUCCAAUCAGCGAAGUCCAAACUGAAGCCAGACCCCAAGGAAGCCCAGCUGAUGCAGUCCCUAGAUAUCAGCCUCCCAGGGCAGAAAACAGUGUCAAAAGGGAUAGAGAAUGUUAUGCAGAGGGACGAGACAAGGAUGACCCAACCACGCUGCAACGUGCUAUAGUAAAAGAUUUCACCUCAAAUAUCCGGAGCUGACUUGCUGGAUUUGCACUCUGGCCUCCCAGAUCUGUUCUCUAUCUGUGUUCUCCAUCUCAUCGAGUGGCUGCUCCAUUAUUCCAGAAACCUGGAGGCUACCACCCUCUCCUCCAGCCCCUACAGUGACAGCCAGCAAUUCCUGUGGAUUUUCCCUCCUAAGUAAACCCAGAUUUCCCUCAGCUCCCCUCUCUAGUCUUCUUCUAGCUUCUGGCCUCCCUCCUGCCUGUUGACUGUGCUGCACCCAGACUGACCCCUAAGAAUGCAAGUCUCGUCAUCUCUUCUUUGUGGAAAACCUACCAGUGGUCUCCUUUGCUCUUGGUUUAGAUGAAGGACCAGAUCCUUUAUUCAGCCUGCUUUGCCAGUCUUUUCCCACUCUAGCCGAACAGACUUAAAGCUUGGAGACUCGAACCUGGAAUGAAUGGAAUGGGUGCACCAUAGCCUACAGUGGCUCCAUUUUGCUUGUAGCAUCAAAGUUUAACAUUCCUCUCACUUUGACUAUGAACCCAUUGGCUGCCAUGCCCUUUCCCUCUCUUUGCACCCAGAACCCAGCGACAUUUCUGGGGCUGGCUUCUCUCCACUGGAGGCAGCUGAGGUAAUGUAGGGUCAAGUCCCUGUUCCUCUUUCAGAGCGUCAUGGUGAUGAGCAGAUUCAACCUUCCACACCUUGAUCCAUCCGCCUACCACACAUGCACCGAAAUACACACACUUGCAUACACACAUAGGCACGGACAUGCACACACUUGCACAUGCAAUGGACACACAUACAAGAGAGUGCAUGCAUGGACUCACGCACACACACACAUAUUCACUCACAUACUAAUCCCCAGACUAGAGCACUGAAGUCAGUGCCCAGACUCGAUAGUGUGGUCAGAGGUAAAGCAGCUAUUUCUGAGCACACUUAAUAGCUCAGCUAUGUUCUUUUUUCCCUUAGCAUUCAUCUCUGUAUUGAUUCAGUGUUUGGUGAGUGCAUAUUAUGUGUUAGUUACUGCUUCAGCUUUUGGAACAGAGUCCCUGCCCUCACAAAGCGUAGAGUCUAGUGGAGGAGACAUAUGUGCUCCUUAUCAGCUCUAUGACCUUGAGUAAGUUACUCAGCCUCCCCGUGUGCCAGUUCUAUUAUCUGUACAAUGAAAAUAUUAAUGUCACCUUUUAUAACCCUGUUAUGGAAAGAAGUAAAAUAGAGUACGUCGAUGGCUAAGUGCUGACUUCAUGAGACCGAUGUGAGAGGUAAUGAGAUAAUACAGGAGAAGUGCUUGAAAUCAUAUCAGGAUAAUAUUUCUUCAAUAAGUGAUGGCUUCAUAUUAUUUUGUGAAGAGCGGAACGUAGAAUUGCAGAUUGUGAUCAGUUCUCUGAAGGGAGAAGGGCUGGCACAGUGACAAAGAAUGCCAGGGACUUAUGCAGGAGGAAUGGCUGGGGAAGGCCCCUCUGAAGAGGUAACUGUCAGGAUGUGAAGGAGUCAGCCUGGAGAAUCAGCCGAGGCAGGACCAGCAUGGGCCUCCUAGACGCCCAGGUCUAAUUCGAGUGCCUUCCCUGUGACUCUCCAGCCGUGUGUCCUCAG
ensembl:lncRNA